AAAGGGUGUACUAUAAAACUGACUGAAGAUAUGGUUGUGACUCACUCAAUUGCAUGUAGGUAAAUAGAAAUACGACGUAGUGCAGGUAGUAAGUUUUAGAACACACUCAGAAAAUUAUUUACCGCAGGGACGUCUUGUGGAUUGCCAAUUACGUUUUAGAACGCAGAUAACGUUGUAUCUGAGUAUGUAACUGAUGUCAUAACAGUAGUAAUUGCGCCCUGGGCAUAAUUACUAGACAGUAAAAUAACGUUGUUGACCUUCGCCCCAUUCAAGAGGCUCGAACUGCUAGACACAGGAAUUUAGGAACUGAAGCAAUAUAGACGGUCGUAUCGCGUUUAAUGGCAGACACUUAUUAGCCAAGGAAAGAAAACGGAACUGCCAAAUUAAUCUAGUAUUUUUGUACCACCAAAAAAAGGACAACGAUAAAUCGACAAUUUUUUAUGAACGUAUUUUUGACUUUAAAACGGUCAAAUGACCGGUCGAUGCUACGGUAGCAUUAAAUAUAUCAAGAGCAACAGGGUGUCUGGAAUAAUCUGGAAUUUAGACAGACAGCCGUGACGCUUGUUGCUCCCCGUUUGGGCGUCUAUUUGUACUUCAGUCGUACACGGGUCGAGGUUGGCGAAGCGUUGGCUAGCGUAAAAAAAGAUUCCGGCUCCCAAGAAACAAAAGGAUACGACGGAAUCUGAUGGAAUCCCAGUCCCUCUUGGAAUUUCGUAGUGAGCCACGGAUUAGGGUGGUAAGCCCGGAAAACGGCAAUGUGAAUAGCGCUGGUUAUUCUUAUACGAAGAAUGACAAAGGAAGUAUCCAGUAAAGGCAAAUAUAAAGAAACAGAAAGUAUAGUCUAAGAAACUUUAGAGGAGAGAGUGAACAUUGUCUCUUGGGCAUUGACAGUAUUAUCGAUUAGCUUCGAUUCCCUUUAAAGGAAACAUAACCUAUUGUAAGAAAAAUCUUUCCUCUCAUACGCAGUUACCGUGCUCGCGUUUCGUCCUGUCAACGUUCCCUUUUGACGACUAAGCCUGAAGCUUAGUCAACUGUCUUUACGUGUGGAUUAAAAGCAAAGGAAAUUAACAGAAGGAAGAAAAGCGGGAAGUCAGGAGAAUAAGUCUCGGAACGAAACGCGUGGUUGGGCACCUCGAAAAAUGUACCUCUGGGAUUUGACGUCGAGCGAGCGUAACGGGAAAUCCUUAUCUCGUCUCCGUCUGUCUCUUGGGACAACAGAGGAGAAAUUUUCCAUGAAUGUAUUCUAAAACUGACUGCAGAUAUAAUGCAUCCCAUAUCAGACUACAGGAUCCAUAAUACAUUACACGGUACACUGUAAAGGUGCGCAGCCAUGUGAUAAAAAAUGGCGAUUGUGAAAAACAUGAGAUUUUAACCUAGAAACGACGUACGCGAUGUAAGUACUACGUCGUGCAACCAGAUGGGCAAGGUAGUCGACAAAAUUCUUUUUUUUUAAUCCAUAAUUAAUGCAAUACCGGUGCAUCGCCAUGGUCUGUUUCUAAUUAAAAAGUUACGCUCGAGCGGCUGGCUGUUUUAUCCUAGUAAAUAUUUCACGGCGGACCUACGAUGCUAUUACGUUCCAACGGCCACCCACCUGCUCCCGAAAGAAAGACUGGAGAGAAUAAAGAGGAGAUUGAUAGAACAAAAGGAAAGAGAGGAGUAACGACAAAAUGCGGUCAUCGAACGACGUUCCUGGGGAUCGUACACUAUCCGUCUUCCGGUUACGGAUGAUAACGUUUUCAAGCGAUGUUCCUGUUUCCUCCUUUUGGCUUUACACUCAUCCGAGUAACGAUUGCUCGACCUGAUGGGGAUUUUAAUAAGGGAACGAGGGCUUAUUCAUAUCCUCGCGUAGAAAACGGCGCUUGCGCUAGACAGCCACCUGUAGCCCAGCUUCCAAUCAAUACAUCAUGGCACAUCGUACCAGCGAGCUGUAGCGAUGGGCAUGAAUCCACUCGUCCUAUUGAAGAUAUGGAAAAAUGCGAAAAAAUGGCAAGAUUGGUGAUACAGAGAAGUAAAUAAACCAUCGAAAAAUUUUCAAAAGGAAAUUUCGAUUAUCGCAUUCAGAGGAAAAACCAUCCACUUGCUGUAUAUCGAUGAUACCGAACUACCGUAACUUCGAUUGUUUACGAGGUCAUAAAUUGACAUUUAAUGCCAUUUUCACAUCGUCCCACUGUAUCUACAUCUCGAAAAAAAUCCAGAAAAAUGUUCACCGACCUCGACGUUGUAGCGACUGGCGGUUAUUAGGAAAGUAAUAUUUUUCUUCCAUUUGACCCAGUAACGAGAAUUCACGGUAACCAUAUUUCUACCCUAGCAGGAACGACGCAGAGGAUUCAAAAUAAUAAUCGUAACCCGAGUCCAGUACCUCAAAAAGUAUAGCGCUCUAUGGAAAGAAAAGAAAUGAAGGAAAUGGAAAUACCAACAAAAGAGAAAGAAUUCUAAGGGAUGUUUAUGUAACGUUCUCUACUCCCAUCUCUUCUACCAAUCGACUGUGAGGUCUUUGUUACUAUCAGUAUUUGCUAAUUGAAUACUUUUGGACGUACUAAUGUUGUACCAUGAUAAUGAGCAGUGGCGCCACGGGAGGCGCGAGUUAAGAAGAAAAUACAUUUAAUGGGAAGUGAGAGCGGAAGGCAGGGGAAGGAAGAAAGGAAAGAACAGUUUUCCGAUCGCAAAAGUGAAACGAGCUCUAAUUAAAUUUCGCUCCGUGGCUCCCAUUUUAACUCGUCUGUUAUACAUUCAGCAUCUCUUCAAAAGAGGAUAUUAAAUGGACUCCAGUCAGUUUUAAUUAAGUUUCCACCAACGGGGAUGCUGGGUUAAUCUCGUCUCUAUCAAUAUUCUCGUCUUCAGCAGAUCCACAGGUAAAUUGACAAAUCUAUAGAGAGCACGUGCUCGACUGAACCAAGCCACACUAGUUGCACAACGUAAAUUUACUUUCUGCUACUCUGCACCGCAACUGCAACGAUCUCCUGUUUCCGUAAACUUCAAAAGUUAAAAGUUUGUUGUGUCAGUACAGCAGCAAGGGUCCAUCUAAAUAUAACGUUCCAGCAAGGGCUCGUGUGUCAGGGCAGACCUGGCUAAAAUCGAUUUUAUUCAGUAGCAACCCUCAGCACGCACCUACCCAUUCGUACGAACUCACCCUGUUAUCUACUGUGGAAACCGAUAAGCUGACUUCCGAUGAUAGAGAUUACGUCUAGACUUGGUAUGAUCCUGGAUAACUAUUGUUUUCAUUCUAUAUCUUCACUAGUGACCAUUCAAUAAGAUUAAGUAUGUACUGAUAAAGGUAUACUGUAGGUUUCUCGAAUAUUUUCAUUUCAUUGAUUAGAUUGACACUGAUAAGGAACGUAUUUGCUUAACUCAUUAGAAUCUACAGUCUAAUGGAUAGAGUGAGUCACCUAGGAUUUGGAGAAAUCAAAAAGGUUAGCCAGGUGCUUGAUUGUU